GACGAACGCUGGCGGCGUGCCUAAUACAUGCAAGUCGAGCGAAUGGAAGGGAGCUUGCUCCCUGAAGUUAGCGGCGGACGGGUGAGUAACACGUGGGCAACCUGCCUGAAAGACUGGGAUAACUUCGGGAAACCGGAGCUAAUACCGGAUACGUUCUUUUCUCGCAUGAGGAAAGAUGGAAAGAUGGUUUCGGCUAUCACUUACAGAUGGGCCCGCGGCGCAUUAGCUAGUUGGUGGGGUAAUGGCCCACCAAGGCGACGAUGCGUAGCCGACCUGAGAGGGUGAUCGGCCACACUGGGACUGAGACACGGCCCAGACUCCUACGGGAGGCAGCAGUAGGGAAUCUUCCGCAAUGGACGAAAGUCUGACGGAGCAACGCCGCGUGAGCGAAGAAGGCCUUCGGGUCGUAAAGCUCUGUUGUCAGGGAAGAACAAGUGCCAGAGUAACUGCUGGCACCUUGACGGUACCUGACCAGAAAGCCACGGCUAACUACGUGCCAGCCGCCGCGGUAA
rnacentral:rRNA from 1 species